rnacentral:rRNA from 1 species
UGGGGAAUAUUGCACAAUGGGGGAAACCCUGAUGCAGCAACGCCGCGUGAAGGAAGAAGGGUUUCGGCUCGUAAACUUCUAUCAACAGGGAAGAAAGAAAUGACGGUACCUGAAUAAGAAGCCCCGGCUAACUACGUGCCAGCAGCCGCGGUAAUACGUAGGGGGCAAGCGUUAUCCGGAAUUACUGGGUGUAAAGGGAGAGUAGGCGGCAAGAUAAGUAAGAUGUGAAAGCCCAGGGCUUAACCUUGGGAUUGCAUUUUAAACUAUCAUGCUUGAGUACAGGAGAGGAAAGCGGAAUUCCUAGUGUAGCGGUGAAAUGCGUAGAUAUUAGGAAGAACACCAGUGGCGAAGGCGGCUUUCUGGACUGAAACUGACGCUGAGGCUCGAAAGCGUGGGGAGCGAACAGGAUUAGAUACCCCCGUAGUCC